rnacentral:lncRNA from 1 species
GUGUAACAAAAAAUUUGUUCCGGCGUGACAUUUGUUCCACCGGAACAAAUUUCAUAGGAAAUAUGUUCCACCGGAACUUAUGUCACAGAAAAUAUGUUCCAGCACUAUAAAAUUUGUUCUGGAACUAAUUUUUUAACCAAGUGUGAAAUAAGUUCCGGAACAAAAAUCACAGCACCAUGAAUUUUGUUCCAAUAUUAAAAUAAAAAAAAAAGUGAAAUAAGUUCUUGUGAUAUUAGUUUUAAACGAAGGUAUUUUAUAGAAAUCAAUGAAAAUGUUCUGCUCGAACCUAUUUCACAGAAAAUAAGUUCUGUGCUUGCAUGGGGUACAUUUGCAAUUGAAGGAAUGACUUUAGGAUGAAGAUAAGAAAUAAAAGCGAUGAUAAUGUAUCUAUGUUUGAUCGUUUAUGUGGUAUUCAACCUCCUUGUUUCCUGAUGAUCUGUCAUUGGUGUUCUAAUCAUACAUGUACUUAGCUAUGGUCAUUGCACAGUUUUUAAAGAGCGUGUAUUUUGUUUCUUUAUGUCUUUUAAUAUAAUUGAUCAGCCACUUUGUUCUUUUCAAAAAAGUACAAAUAUUCAUCUUCAACUAUAAUACUUUUUUUCGGAAUGACUUUUAUUAUUAUUUCUUAUUCUACUCUUUCCUGGCUCAUAAGUGCCAUUUUUAGUAUUAUUACUUGAGCAUGUUAUUAAACUUUUUCUUUACUCCACAUGAUCCAAUUGGAUGUUUACACUUUUUAUUUAUUACAUUAU